rnacentral:rRNA from 1 species
GACAGAGGGUGCAAACGUUGUUCGGAAUUACUGGGCGUAAAGCGCGUGUAGGCGGCUGCGUAAGUCGGGCGUGAAAUCCCACGGCUCAACGGUGGAAGAGCACUCGAAACUGCGUAGCUAGAGUCCUGGAGAGGAAGGUGGAAUACUUGGUGUAGAGGUGAAAUUCGUAGAUAUCAAGUGGAACACCAGUGGCGAAGGCGGCCUUCUGGACAGUGACUGACGCUGAGACGCGAAAGCGUGGGGAGCAAACAGG